rnacentral:rRNA from 1 species
AUUGAACGCUGGCGGCAGGCUUAACACAUGCAAGUCGAACGAGUGGCGGACGGGUGAGUAAUGCUUGGGAAUCUAGCUGAUGGAGGGGGAUAACUACGGGGAACUGUAGCUACUAACGAGUACAAUAGGCUGAGCCCAAGUGGGAUUAGGUAGUUGGUGAGGAAAAGGCGCACCAAGCCGACGAUCUCUAGCUGGUCUGCGAGGAUGACCAGCCACACGGUGACUGAGACACGGCCCAGACUCCUACGGGAGGCAGCAGUGGGGAAUAUUGCGCAAUGGGGGAAACCUGACGCAGCCAUGCCGCGUGAAUGAAGAAGGCCUUCGGGUUGUAAAGUUCUUUCGGUAGCGAGGCGUUAACUACAGAAGAAGCACCGGCUAACUCCGUGCCAGCAGCCGCGGUAAUAC